rnacentral:rRNA from 1 species
AGAGUUUGAUCCUGGCUCAGGAUUAACGCUGGCGGUAUGCCUAACACGUGCAAGUCGAACGGAAUACUAAUUAAGAGAAUCUCACACUAGUGAGAGGUUCUCACGAGUAGUAUUUAGUGGCGGACGGGUGAGUAACACGUUGGAACCUGCCCCGAAGUGGGGAAUAACUGCUCGAAAGAGUAGCUAAUACCCCAUAGUAUCCGGUUUAUCCGGAUUAAAGAUUUAUCGCUUCGGGAGGGGCCUGCGUCUGAUUAGCUAGUUGGUGAGGUAAAAGCUCACCAAGGCGACGAUCAGUAGCUGGUUCGAGAGGAUGACCAGCCACACUGGGACUGAGAUACGGCCCAGACUCCUACGGGAGGCAGCAGUGAGGAAUCUUCCACAAUGGACGAAAGUCUGAUGGAGCAAUACCGCGUGCAGGAAGACGCUUUUCGGAGUGUAAACUGCUUUUGUCGUCGAAGAUUAUGACUGUAGACGAAGAAUAAGGACCGGCUAACUACGUG